rnacentral:rRNA from 1 species
CCUACGGGGGGCUGCAGUGGGGAAUUUUGGACAAUGGGGGCAACCCUGAUCCAGCCAUUCCGCGUGAGUGAAGAAGGCCUUCGGGUUGUAAAGCUCUUUCGCAAGGGAAGAAAACUUACUCAAUAACACUGGGUGAGGCUGACGGUACCUUGAUAAGAAGCACCGGCUAACUACGUGCCGGCAGCCGCGGUCAUACGUAGGGUGCGAGCGUUACGUGGAGUUACCGGGGGUGAUGUUGUAACAGGGGGUUGAAAUCCCCGGGCUCAACCUGGGAACUGCGUUUGAAACUACAAGGCUAGAGUAUGGCAGAGGGGGGUAGAAUUCCACGUGUAGCAGUGAAAUGCGUAGAGAUGUGGAGGAAUACCAAUGGCGAAGGCAGCCCCCUGGGUCAAUACUGACGCUCAUGCACGAAAGCGUGGGGAGCAAACAGGAUUAGAUACCCCUGUAGUC